GACGAACGCUGGCGGCGUGCCUAAUACAUGCAAGUCGAGCGGAUCGAUGGGAGCUUGCUCCCUGAGAUCAGCGGCGGACGGGUGAGUAACACGUGGGUAACCUGCCUGUAAGACUGGGAUAACUCCGGGAAACCGGGGCUAAUACCGGAUAACACCUACCCCCGCAUGGGGGAAGGUUGAAAGGUGGCUUCGGCUAUCACUUACAGAUGGACCCGCGGCGCAUUAGCUAGUUGGUGAGGUAACGGCUCACCAAGGCGACGAUGCGUAGCCGACCUGAGAGGGUGAUCAGCCACACUGGGACUGAGACACGGCCCAGACUCCUACGGGAGGCAGCAGUAGGGAAUCUUCCGCAAUGGACGAAAGUCUGACGGAGCAACGCCGCGUGAGUGAAGAAGGUUUUCGGAUCGUAAAACUCUGUUGUUAGGGAAGAACAAGUACCGUUCGAAUAGGGCGGUACCUUGACGGUACCUAACCAGAAAGCCACGGCUAACUACGUGCCAGCCGCCGCAGUAA
rnacentral:rRNA from 1 species